ACGGCUACCUUGUUACGACUUCAUCCCAGUUACCAAUCCCACCUUAGGCAGCUCCUUCCCCGAGGGGUUGGGACACUGACUUCGGGUGUUACCGACUUCCGUGAUGUGACGGGCGGUGUGUACAAGCCCCGAGAACGUAUUCACCGUGGCAUAGCUGAUCCACGAUUACUAGCGACUCCGGCUUCAUGAAGUCGAGUUGCAGACUUCAAUCCGAACUGGGGACGGCUUUAAGGGAUUGGCUCACUCUUGCGAGAUCGCGGCCCACUGUACCGCCCAUUGUAGCAUGCGUGCAGCCCUGGAUAUAAGGGGCAUGAUGACUUGACAUCGUCCUCUCCUUCCUCCGAGUUGUCCCCGGCAGUCUCCCAUGAGUCCCCACCAUUACGUGCUGGCAACAUAGGACAAGGGUUGCGCUCGUUGCGGGACUUAACCCAACAUCUCACGACACGAGCUGACGACAGCCAUGCACCACCUGUGAUGAGCGCGUUAGCACACUGUGUUUCCACAGCUAGACCCACCAUGUCAAACCCAGGUAAGGUUCUUCGGGUUGCAUCGAAUUAAGCCGCAUGCUCCGCCGCUUGUGCGGGGCCCCGUCAAUUCCUUUGAGUUUUAGCCUUGCGGCCGUACUCUCCAAGCGGAACACUUAAUGCGUUAGCUACGACGCAGCAGACGUGAAUCAGUCCGCUACACCUAGUGUUCAUC
rnacentral:rRNA from 1 species